UUACUUACGAAAGCAAAAAAUUAUGGCGGUGUUUUAAGCUUUUCAGAGGAAUUUGCUCUUUAAUGGAUAAAACACCUAGACCUUACUUAAAUUAGUACUUUUCAGUUUGUAUACCACUAUUAUAAUAAUAAUUUGUUAUUAUUAUUAAUAUUCUUAAAUUAGAAGAAAAUUAAGUCAAGGUGCAGCAUAAAUUUAUGAAUGAAGUGAAUUACAUUUCUUUUAAGAAAAA
rnacentral:rRNA from 1 species